rnacentral:rRNA from 1 species
AACGCGAAGAACCUUACCUGGGCUCGAAAUGUAGAGGACGACUGCAGAGAUGCAGUUUCCCGCAAGGGCCUCUAUAUAGGUGCUGCAUGGCUGUCGUCAGCUCGUGCCGUGAGGUGUUUGGUUAAGUCCAGCAACGAGCGCAACCCUUAUCGUUAGUUGCCAACGCGUAAUGGCGGGAACUCUAACGAGACUGCCUGGGUUAACCAGGAGGAAGGUGAGGAUGACGUCAAGUCCGCAUGGCCUUUAUGUCCAGGGCUACACACGUGCUACAAUGGUCGGUACAGAAGGCUGCGAAACCGUAAGGCGAAGCAAAUCCUAUAAAACCGAUCUCAGUUCAGAUUGUAGUCUGCAACUCGGCUACAUGAAGUUGGAAUUGCUAGUAAUGGCGUGUCAGCAACAACGCCGUGAAUACGUUCCCGGGCCUUGUA